rnacentral:rRNA from 1 species
CGCAGCCGCGGUAAUUCCAGCUCCAAUAGCGUAUAUUAAAGUUGUUGCAGUUAAAAAGCUCGUAGUUGAAUUUCGGGAUCAAUGUUUCGGUCAUGCCCUCGGUAUGUACUGAUAUUAUUGGUUUCUCACCUUCUAAAGAACCGUAAUGCCAUUAAUUUGGUGUCACGGGGAAUUAGGACUGUUACCUUGAAAAAAUUAGAGUGUUUAAAGCAGGCUCACGCUUGAAUACAUUAGCAUGGAAUAAUGAAAUAGGACAUCCGAUUCUAUUUUGUUGGUUUCUAGGAUCGAUGUAAUGAUUAAUAGGGAUAGUUGGGGGCAUUAGUAUUCAAUUGUCAGAGGUGAAAUUCUUGGAUUUAUUGAAGACUAACUACUGCGAAAGCAUUUGCCAAGGAUGUUUUCAUUAAUCAAGAACGAAAGUUAGGGGAUCGAAGACGAUCAGAUACCGUCGUAGUCUUAACCAUAAACUAUGCCGACUAGGGAUCGGAUGAUGUUAAUUUUUUAAUGACUCA